AUACGUAGGGGGCGAGCGUUGUCCGGAAUGAUUGGGCGUAAAGGGCGCGUAGGCGGCCCGGUAAGUCUGGAGUGAAAGUCCUGUUUUUAAGAUGGGAAUUGCUUUGGAUACUGUCGGGCUUGAGUGCAGGAGAGGUAAGUGGAAUUCCCAGUGUAGCGGUGAAAUGCGUAGAGAUUGGGAGGAACACCAGUGGCGAAGGCGACUUACUGGACUGUAACUGACGCUGAGGCGCGAAAGUGUGGGGAGCAAACAGGAUUAGAUACCCUGGUAGUCCACACCGUAAACGAUGAAUGCUAGGUGUAAGAGGUAUCGACCCCUUUUGUGCCGGAGUCAACACAAUAAGCAUUCCGCCUGGGGAGUACGGCCGCAAGGUUGAAACUCAAAGGAAUUGACGGGG
rnacentral:rRNA from 1 species